rnacentral:rRNA from 1 species
CCUACGGGAGGCAGCAGUGGGGAAUCUUGCGCAAUGGGCGAAAGCCUGACGCAGCCAUGCCGCGUGAAUGAUGAAGGUCUUAGGAUUGUAAAAUUCUUUCACCGGGGACGAUAAUGACGGUACCCGGAGAAGAAGCCCCGGCUAACUUCGUGCCAGCAGCCGCGGUAAUACGAAGGGGGCUAGCGUUGCUCGGAAUUACUGGGCGUAAAGGGAGCGUAGGCGGAUAGUUUAGUCAGAGGUGAAAGCCCAGGGCUCAACCUUGGAAUUGCCUUUGAUACUGGCUAUCUUGAGUGUGGGAGAGGUAUGUGGAACUCCGAGUGUAGAGGUGAAAUUCGUAGAUAUUCGGAAGAACACCAGUGGCGAAGGCGACAUACUGGCCCAUUACUGACGCUGAGGCUCGAAAGCGUGGGGAGCAAACAGGAUUAGAUACCCUGGUAGUCCGACGCUGUAACGAUAGAGUGCUAGUUGUCGGUCGAUGCAUGCAUGUUCGGUGGACGCGAGCUACG